GUUAAACGUGAAGCGUCUUAUUUUUGUAGGGGUGUCAGGAGCCCUUGAUUGUGCUACCUUCCCCCAUCCCACCGGCAAUCAACCGAGUUGGAGUACAUAAAGUGAUGGACAAAGUAACUUUAUGCGAGCAGGCGCUUCAAAUCACAUUACCGAACAGCUGUUAAAAGUGAGACUGUAUAAUAAUGACGCGACCUCUAUGGGGGAGAUAAUUUCUGGUCACCAUUGGAAGAGAAACAAAACACUAAACAUGAAGUUAUCAAUCCUGUUUGUUGCCGUCUUGACUACCAUCAAGCCUGGUAUAGGUAAUGUACAAUUAUUGAAUAUGUUUAUCAUAUACUCACUGACACAUACAUGUAUUCCCCGU